UUUCAAUGCUCAGGUUUCCAGUUUUCUAAAUACCGAAGUCAUUCCUCUUAAACAGUUUUCUUUCUUUUGCUCCUUGAAACUAAACGCAGUUCAGUUAUUUGAUUAGUGGAUGCUAGCAUUUGACCUGGAGCUUAUAUAAUUAGAAGAGACACUAGUUUUCCUCAUUUAAAAGCCUAGUUAGCAUAUGACAGUCUCCUUUCCGGGGAAGUCAAACCUCUCUACUGCUUCUUUUUAUAACCUUUAAGUUAAUUCAGAAUCCAGAAAGCCUUGAUCUGAGGAUGAUAUAACCACAGCAAGCAACAUGGGAACCUCUAAAGAAAUUAGGAAGACUUCACAAGACAUGGUGUGAUGCCUACUGGGGGAGACAGGCCAUGAGGUCCAGGGAAGAGGGGGUGGCCUGAUCCAGGGACGAUGAAGAUGCAACGUUGAAGAAUAAGGUGGAGGAAAGAAGAAACAGGCA